CCGAAGCCGGUGGAGUAACCAUUUGGAGCUAGCCGUCGAAGGUGGGACAAAUGAUUGGGGUGAAGUCGUAACAAGGUAGCCGUAUCGGAAGGUGCGGCUGGAUCACCUCCUUU
rnacentral:rRNA from 1 species